GUGUAUGUUACGUUAGGGUUUACUGACGUGCACCCAAGGGGAGAUGACAAGGAAGAAGAAGCAAUCAGCUCCAAUGUCGGUCUCGCCAAAAGAUUCAGUACUAGAAACUAGGAAAUAACACCAGAAUCGGGUAUUCCCCAUCUCUUAGCACCGAUUCAAUUCGGUCACUGGCUCCUAGGAAUAGAGAGUUCUUCUACAGUGCUACAAGCAGGACCUCCACUGCAAAUUGCAGACUCCGCC
rnacentral:lncRNA from 1 species